UACGUAGGGCGCAAGCGUUAUCCGGAAUUAUUGGGCGUAAAGAGCUCGUAGGCGGUUUGUCGCGUCUGCCGUGAAAGUCCGGGGCUCAACUCCGGAUCUGCGGUGGGUACGGGCAGACUAGAGUGAUGUAGGGGAGACUGGAAUUCCUGGUGUAGCGGUGAAAUGCGCAGAUAUCAGGAGGAACACCGAUGGCGAAGGCAGGUCUCUGGGCAUUAACUGACGCUGAGGAGCGAAAAGCAUGGGGGAGCGA
rnacentral:rRNA from 1 species